AACGGGGGAGACAAGUGUUAUUCGUCAUGAUUGGGCGUAAAGGGUAAGUAGGCAGAUGUUCAACUUUUUAAUUUUUAAAAAAAAGUGUGCAUCUUUGGGUUUGGCAGAGGCUGUCGGUACUCUUGAUGGAAGGGUAAAAUCUAAUGAUAUCAAUGUGGACCACCAAUAGGCAAAAGCGGGCAGCUAUGCUAGUACUGACGCUGAGGUACUAAAGCGUAGGGAGCAAACAGG
rnacentral:rRNA from 1 species